UCCACCGGCGACUCAAUGACCGAAUUUAAAAGAAUUUCACAAUGGACCGACGGCGAGAUGAGUCCACUAUCAUCCGGCCCUCUCCGCCGUCUCCUACGAUCUCUAUCUCAGACAUAAUAUAUUCAUUGCAUCUAGGUUUGGGGCAAUGUUGGUACUGGUGAUUUUGCAUUUGCCGAUUCUCUCACAGUGUAUAAGACAUCAUCCAAUUGGUAUUCCUAUAUCCGAUCAAAGCAAGCUCUCAUUUUCUGGAGAAAAUGACAAUCAUCCGACUCCGGUGGACACAGUAUUUGAACCGGAAUCGGAUCCGCCACCAAAGUCACCUCCGCCCUCUUGCCGGCCUUAUUGUUGAUGAGUUUUGAUGAUGCAAGAGAGCUGUUCCAGUUUUGUUUUGGAAGGAAUCAAGAGGAAGAAGAUACACGCUGAAAACAAGAUAUAGGUUUCUCUUAUAUAAUUGUUUGGUUGAAAGAGUUUUGAUGCUUUAAUUAUUUUAUGCUUUGUUAUUUAAUGUUAUUUGCGUAGAGUCGUCAAAAAUUAAUAAAAAGAGUCUCGGCGACAGUUUUUUUGCUGAAAUUA